AAAGGAGGCGGUCGGGAGACGAAUAAAGGGAGACGUGGCCACGACCGCUAGAUGGGCGCAGGGGCUCAUCCUUUAUAUGUUCAAAUAUCUUCGUACACCUCCCCCUCUCCAACUUCUCUUUGUUAAGCACAUGGGCCAGCCCAGCAAAAGCCGAACAUCCCAUCUCUCUCUGAACUCACCCACCCUAAAUUUUCUAUAAAAAAAUCUAGGGUUAACACUGUACGUUGCCAGCUCUAGCCCAUACCUUGCCUCCCCGGCCGCCGCACACCAUCCUCUGCCGGACCUCUCCGCCUCCGUUUCUUUUCUGUGUGAUCCAGUCCGCAUCAGGGGGUAGUUGGCGGGGAAAAUCCCGGCGCCGGUAAGGAGGGCGAGCGUGGGCUGUGGUGGCCCAUUGGCACCCACGCGGCAAGGAAGAUCGAGAGGAUACCCGCGCACGUCCCCACGUCCUUGAAGGAGGUGACUGCAUCGAUGGCGGCCUUUGCUUAAGCGUAGAGCCGCCGUCGGCCACUGAUAGUUCACUGCCCGCCCCCACCCAGUCCUUCUCCUCAUUCCCUCGAAGCUCCUCUCCUCUCAUGCGCGCUACACAUCAAUACUAAGGACCACAUGAACAAGCAGGUUGAUGUCCAAGCAUGGUUGCUACUAGAAGAGACCACAUGAACAAGCAGGUUGAUGUCCAAGCAUGGUUGCUACUAGAAGAGUAAGCUUCAGACAACGUCCCAGCUAUGCAAAAAUCCACCAUCUCAUCUCAUGCAUGCAUAACCAGGCCAAUGGUCACCGCUUGCCCAGCCCUCUGUCCAGAAUACCAUCACCAACUCACUCAGAGCCCACGACCGCCACAAAAUCGUCAUGCCACCGCGCAUGCAGGUCAACGCCUCACACCUGAGCGUUGCCAUCCUGUCUCGCGCACGCAGGGAUUAGACUUCUGAUGACAUAUCACAACUUCAAGUCAUCUUCCUCUAUUAAGGUAACUCUAUGAGAGAACAUCUUCUAGGAUGGAGGCAAAACUAAUGUUAACGGCAAUAACAAAGUCAUAAUUGGGUCUCCAACACCUACUCGUGGCAGAUUGGUAGCAUCUGCAAAAUCAGUUACUUCUUCGUCAUGUGCCUCCCCUGCAAGGUAUCCAUGCAGUCCGUCACUUGCUUGAUUGAUGUCGCCAGUUUAGAUCCCAAUAUUGUUGAUGUAGUUCUCAUAUAUAUGUAGGUUUGUUCCAUGAUCUUAGAUUGUUGUUGUGUGUACACAUGCAUCUUUUAUUUUCAUGUUAGCUUCGAUUGUCUUGGAUGCAACCGUCUAAAUAUGCAUGAAUAUUGCUUGGUAUAUACACUUCUUCUGUUCUUUUGCACUUACGAGUAAUAUGGGAUCUUGGUGUGAAAUGUUAUGCUUGUUAAUUACCUGAAUAUUUGAUGUAAAAUGUGAUUGACCAUGCCGGUGUCAGAGUUCAAUUGUCUGGGUGUGCAUACUGGUCCAUGAACUAUAGUUGGUUGUAACAUUUGUUGACAUGGCAAGGUUGUAAACUUAUCUGCAAUUUUAUGUCUUUAUUUGUUUGA